rnacentral:rRNA from 1 species
UACGAAGGGGGCUAGCGUUGCUCGGAAUUACUGGGCGUAAAGGGCGCGUAGGCGGCACUGUUAGUCAGGCGUGAAAGUCCUGGGCUCAACCUGGGAACUGCGCUUGAUACGGCAGAGCUAGAGGAUGGAAGAGGGUCGCGGAAUUCCCAGUGUAGAGGUGAAAUUCGUAGAUAUUGGGAAGAACACCGGUGGCGAAGGCGGCGACCUGGUCCAUUACUGACGCUGAGGCGCGACAGCGUGGGGAGCAAACAGGAUUAGAUACCCUGGUAGUCCACGCCGUAAACGAUGUGCGCUGGAUGUUGGGUGGCCUAGCCACUCAGUGUCGUAGCUAACGCGGUAAGCGCACCGCCUGGGGAGUACGGCCGCAAGGUUGAA